rnacentral:rRNA from 1 species
AGAGUUUGAUCAUGGCUCAGAAGAACGCUGGCGGCAGGCCUAACACAUGCAAGGUCGAGCGGCACCUUCGGGUGAGCGGCGGAACGGGUUAGUAACGCGUGGGAACAUACCCUUUUCUACGGAAUAGCCUCGGGAAACUGAGAGUAAUACCGUAUAAGCCCUUCGGGGGAAAGAUUUAUCGGGAAAGGAUUGGCCCGCGUUAGAUUAGAUAGUUGGUGGGGUAAUGGCCUACCAAGUCUACGAUCUAUAGCUGGUUUUAGAGGAUGAUCAGCAACACUGGGACUGAGACACGGCCCAGACUCCUACGGGAGGCAGCAGUGGGGAAUCUUAGACAAUGGGCGCAAGCCUGAUCUAGCCAUGCCGCGUGUGUGAUGAAGGUCUUAGGAUCGUAAAGCACUUUCGCCAGGGAUGAUAAUGACAGUACCUGGUAAAAACCCCGCUAAAACUCGUCAAAGCCGCGGUAAUACGGAGGGGGUUAGCGUUGUUCGGAAUUACUGGGGCGUAAAGCGUACGUAGGCGGAUUGGAAAGUUGGGGGUGAAAUCCCAGGGCUCAACCCUGGAACUGCCUCCAAAACUAUCAGUCUAGAGUUCGAGAGAGGUGAGUGGAAUUCCAAGUGUAGAGGUGAAAUUCGUAGAUAUUUGGAGGAACACCAGUGGCGAAGGCGGCUCACUGGCUCGAUACUGACGCUGAGGUACGAAAGUGUGGGGAGCAAACAGGAUUAGAUACCCUGGUAGUCCACACCGUAAACGAUGAAUGCCAGUCGUCGGGCAGUAUACUGUUCGGUGACACACCUAACGGAUUAAAGCAUUCCGCCUGGGGAGUACGGUCGCAAGAUUAAAACUCAAAGGAAUUGACCGG